rnacentral:rRNA from 1 species
UCAAGUGAAGAAGCGCAUACGGUGGAUGCCUUGGCAGUCAGAGGCGAUGAAAGACGUGGUAGCCUGCGAAAAGCUUCGGGGAGUCGGCAAACAGACUGUGAUCCGGAGAUGUCUGAAUGGGGGAACCCAGCCAUCAUAAGAUGGUUAUCUUGUACUGAAUACAUAGGUGCAAGAGGCGAACCAGGGGAACUGAAACAUCUAAGUACCCUGAGGAAAAGAAAUCAACCGAGAUUCCCUUAGUAGUGGCGAGCGAACGGGGACCAGCCCUUAAGUUGUAUUGAGAUUAGCGGAACGUUCUGGAAAGGACGGCCAUAGUGGGUGAUAGCCCUGUACGCGAAAAUCCCUUUGCAAUGAAAUCGAGUAGGACGGGGCACGAGAAACCUUGUCUGAAUAUGGGGGGACCAUCCUCCAAGGCUAAAUACUACUGACUGACCGAUAGUGAACCAGUACCGUGAGGGAAAGGCGAAAAGAACCGCGGAGAGCGGAGUGAAAUAGAUCCUGAAACCGUAUGCGUACAAGCAGUGGGAGCCCACUUUGUUGGGUGACUGCGUACCUUUUGUAUAAUGGGUCAGCGACUUAUUUUCAGUGGCGAGCUUAACCGAAUAGGGGAGGCGUAGCGAAAGCGAGUCUUAAUAGGGCGUCUAGUCGCUGGGAAUAGACCCGAAACCGGGCGAUCUAUCCAUGGGCAGGUUGAAGGUUGGGUAACACUAACUGGAGGACCGAACCGACUACCGUUGAAAAGUUAGCGGAUGACCUGUGGAUCGGAGUGAAAGGCUAAUCAAGCUCGGAGAUAGCUGGUUCUCCUCGAAAGCUAUUUAGGUAGCGCCUCAUGUAUCACUGUAGGGGGUAGAGCACUGUUUCGGCUAGGGGGUCAUCCCGACUUACCAAACCGAUGCAAACUCCGAAUACCUACAAGUGCCGAGCAUGGGAGACACACGGCGGGUGCUAACGUCCGUCGUGAAAAGGGAAACAACCCAGACCGUCAGCUAAGGUCCCAAAGUCAUGGUUAAGUGGGAAACGAUGUGGGAAGGCUUAGACAGCUAGGAGGUUGGCUUAGAAGCAGCCACCCUUUAAAGAAAGCGUAAUAGCUCACUAGUCGAGUCGGCCUGCGCGGAAGAUGUAACGGGGCUCAAACCAUGCACCGAAGCUACGGGUAUCAUCUUAGGAUGAUGCGGUAGAGGAGCGUUCUGUAAGCCUGUGAAGGUGAGUUGAGAAGCUUGCUGGAGGUAUCAGAAGUGCGAAUGCUGACAUGAGUAACGACAAUGGGUGUGAAAAACACCCACGCCGAAAGACCAAGGUUUCCUGCGCAACGUUAAUCGACGCAGGGUUAGUCGGUCCCUAAGGCGAGGCUGAAAAGCGUAGUCGAUGGAAAACAGGUUAAUAUUCCUGUACUUCUGGUUAUUGCGAUGGAGGGACGGAGAAGGCUAGGCCAGCCUGGCGUUGGUAGUCCAGGUUUAAGGUGGUAGGCUGAGAUCUUAGGUAAAUCCGGGAUCUUAAGGCCGAGAGCUGAUGACGAGUGUUCUUUUAGAACAUGAAGUGGUUGAUGCCAUGCUUCCAAGAAAAGCUUCUAAGCUUCAGGUAACCAGGAACCGUACCCCAAACCGACACAGGUGGUUGGGUAGAGAAUACCAAGGCGCUUGAGAGAACUCGGGUGAAGGAACUAGGCAAAAUGGCACCGUAACUUCGGGAGAAGGUGCGCCGGUGGAGGUGAAGCAUUUACUGCGUAAGCCCCUGCCGGUCGAAGAUACCAGGCCGCUGCGACUGUUUAUUAAAAACACAGCACUCUGCAAACACGAAAGUGGACGUAUAGGGUGUGACGCCUGCCCGGUGCCGGAAGGUUAAUUGAUGGGGUUAGCGCAAGCGAAGCUCUUGAUCGAAGCCCCGGUAAACGGCGGCCGUAACUAUAACGGUCCUAAGGUAGCGAAAUUCCUUGUCGGGUAAGUUCCGACCUGCACGAAUGGCGUAACGAUGGCGGCGCUGUCUCCACCCGAGACUCAGUGAAAUUGAAAUCGCUGUGAAGAUGCAGUGUAUCCGCGGCUAGACGGAAAGACCCCGUGAACCUUUACUAUAGCUUUGCACUGGACUUUGAAUUUGCUUGUGUAGGAUAGGUGGGAGGCUUUGAAGCGUGGACGCCAGUCUGCGUGGAGCCAACCUUGAAAUACCACCCUGGCAACUUUGAGGUUCUAACUCAGGUCCGUUAUCCGGAUCGAGGACAGUGUAUGGUGGGUAGUUUGACUGGGGCGGUCUCCUCCUAAAGAGUAACGGAGGAGUACGAAGGUGCGCUCAGACCGGUCGGAAAUCGGUCGUAGAGUAUAAAGGCAAAAGCGCGCUUGACUGCGAGACAGACACGUCGAGCAGGUACGAAAGUAGGUCUUAGUGAUCCGGUGGUUCUGUAUGGAAGGGCCAUCGCUCAACGGAUAAAAGGUACUCCGGGGAUAACAGGCUGAUACCGCCCAAGAGUUCAUAUCGACGGCGGUGUUUGGCACCUCGAUGUCGGCUCAUCACAUCCUGGGGCUGAAGCCGGUCCCAAGGGUAUGGCUGUUCGCCAUUUAAAGUGGUACGCGAGCUGGGUUUAGAACGUCGUGAGACAGUUCGGUCCCUAUCUGCCGUGGACGUUUGAGAUUUGAGAGGGGCUGCUCCUAGUACGAGAGGACCGGAGUGGACGAACCUCUGGUGUUCCGGUUGUCACGCCAGUGGCAUUGCCGGGUAGCUAUGUUCGGAAAAGAUAACCGCUGAAAGCAUCUAAGCGGGAAACUUGCCUCAAGAUGAGAUCUCACUGGAACCUUGAGUUCCCUGAAGGGCCGUCGAAGACUACGACGUUGAUAGGUUGGGUGUGUAAGCGCUGUGAGGCGUUGAGCUAACCAAUACUAAUUGCCCGUGAGGCUUGACCAU